rnacentral:rRNA from 1 species
UACGUAGGUGGCAAGCGUUGUCCGGAUUUACUGGGUGUAAAGGGCGCGUAGGCGGGAGAGCAAGUCAGAUGUGAAAUGUGGGGGCUUAACCCUCAAGCUGCAUUUGAAACUGUUUUUCUUGAGUAUCGGAGAGGCAGGCGGAAUUCCUAGUGUAGCGGUGAAAUGCGUAGAUAUUAGGAGGAACACCAGUGGCGAAGGCGGCCUGCUGGACGACAACUGACGCUGAGGCGCGAAAGCGUGGGGAGCAAAC